rnacentral:rRNA from 1 species
GAUGAACGCUGGCGGCGUGCCUAAUACAUGCAAGUCGAGCGAACAGACGAGGAGCUUGCUCCUCUGACGUUAGCGGCGGACGGGUGAGUAACACGUGGAUAACCUACCUAUAAGACUGGGAUAACUUCGGGAAACCGGAGCUAAUACCGGAUAAUAUAUUGAACCGCAUGGUUCAAUAGUGAAAGACGGUUUUGCUGUCACUUAUAGAUGGAUCCGUGCCGCAUUAGCUAGUUGGUAAGGUAACGGCUUACCAAGGCAACGAUGCGUAGCCGACCUGAGAGGGUGAUCAGCCACACUGGAACUGAGACACGGUCCAGACUCCUACGGGAGGCAGCAGUAGGGAAUCUUCCGCAAUGGGCGAAAGCCUGACGGAGCAACGCCGCGUGAGUGAUGAAGGUCUUCGGAUCGUAAAACUCUGUUAUUAGGGAAGAACAAAUGUGUAAGUAACUAUGCACGUCUUGACGGUACCUAAUCAGAAAGCCACGGCUAACUACGUG